GUAGGUGAACCUGCGGAAGGAUCAUUAACACGUGUCCCACGUAUCAAACCAAAAUGUGAACUGUGAACGUAUGUCCGGGAUAAGCUAGAUGGCCUGUCGGCAGUAAAGUCCAAGGAUGACUCUUCGUGAGUGUACUUUGGGUUCCGCACAUGUGGCUUAGACCGUUUAACCAAACCAUUACUAAUUAUUAUUAUUCGUCUUAAGAACUGACGUACUCUCGGGUACUGAUAUGUCUUAUUACAAGCUAUGU
rnacentral:misc_RNA from 1 species